rnacentral:antisense_RNA from 1 species
GGCUCAGAACCGGACGGAAUCGACAGAUCUUGGCCCGUCCUCCGUGCCACUCUUUUGAGGGUAGACUACAUUUCCCAGAAGGCUUAGCGGUUUGAGUCAGCUUUUCGCGCGAACUUUUCCUCCGCCAGAGCUUGUGGGACUGUCUCCCUGGCCGGGACAGGGGUGUAAAGAUGGACACCUGCAUGAGGGAAGGAAUAUGUGAGCAGCUUCCAUUUCACCUCCAUGGUCUUCUCAGCUUCCUCCAACAGUAGAUUGUUCAGCCUCCCUAAAGCAGAAGAGGAAGGGGAAGGAAGAAAGGUGUUUUUCCAGGUUUCUAAGCAAACACCUUGCUGCAGAUCUUCAACUGCAGGUGAGGCCAUGUUGCCAGAACAUCCUGUUUACAGAGGCCACUUAAAAUCCUUACAUUAACCCUAGGCAUACUGUGGUCAUCCUUUU